ensembl:lncRNA
GUGAAAUCCUGAUAUGAUAUGUACCAUUAACUAAACGCCCAAAUCCCCAUGCAGCAGCAGGAUGGCUCCCUGCUACAGACAGACACAGGGAGGAGAGAGAGAGAGAGAGAGAGAGAUACAGAGAGAGAGAGAGAGAGAGAUACAGAGAGAGAGAGAGAGGGUGAGAGAGAGAGAGGGGGAGAGAGAGACAGAGAGAAAGAGGGGAGAGAGAGAGAGAGAGAGAGAGAGCGAGAGAGGGAGAAAGAGGGUGAGAGAGAGAGGGCUAGAGAGAGACAGAGAGAAAGAGGGUGAGAGGGAAGGGUGAGAAGACUGCAGACAGAGAGAAAGAGGGUGAGAGGGAAGGGUGAGAAGACUGCAGACAGAGAUGAAGGGGGUGAGAGGGAAGGGUGAGAAGACUGCAGACAGAGAUGAAGGGGGUGAGAGGGAAGGGUGAGAAGACUGCAGACAGAGAUGAAGGGGGUGAGAGGGGAGGGUGAGAAGACUGCAGACAGAGAUGAAGGGGGUGAGAGGGAAGGGUGAGAAGACUGCAGACAGAGAUGAAGGGGGUGAGAGGGAAGGGUGAGAAG